UACGUAGGGACCAAGCGUUGUUCGGAUUUACUGGGCGUAAAGCGCACGUAGGCGGAUUUGUAGGUCAGGGGUGAAAUCCCGGGGCUCAACCUCGGAACUGCCUUUGAUACUGCGAAUCUUGAGUCCGAUAGAGGUGGGUGGAAUUCCCAGUGUAGAGGUGAAAUUCGUAGAUAUUGGGAGGAACACCGGUGGCGAAGGCGACCACCUGGACGGAGAUUGACGCUGAGGCGCGAAAGCGUGGGUAGCAAACAGG
rnacentral:rRNA from 1 species